rnacentral:tRNA from 1 species
GACCGAGUAGCUCAAUUGGCAGAGCAUUGGGCUAGUAUUCCAAAGGUCGUAGGUUCGAUUCCCACCGUGGCCG